CAGAUUCCUACGGGAGGCAGCAGUAGGGAAUCUUCCGCAAUGGGCGCAAGCCUGACGGAGCAACGCCGCGUGAGUGAUGAAGGUCUUCGGAUCGUAAAACUCUGUUAUUAGGGAAGAACAAACGUGUAAGUAACUGUGCACGUCUUGACGGUACCUAAUCAGAAAGCCACGGCUAACUACGUGCCAGCAGCCGCGGUAAUACGUAGGUGGCAAGCGUUAUCCGGAAUUAUUGGGCGUAAAGCGCGCGUAGGCGGUUUUUUAAGUCUGAUGUGAAAGCCCACGGCUCAACCGUGGAGGGUCAUUGGAAACUGGAAAACUUGAGUGCAGAAGAGGAAAGUGGAAUUCCAUGUGUAGCGGUGAAAUGCGCAGAGAUAUGGAGGAACACCAGUGGCGAAGGCGACUUUCUGGUCUGUAACUGACGCUGAUGUGCGAAAGCGUGGGGAUCAAACAGGAUUAGAUACCCUGGUAGUCCACGCCGUAAACGAUGAGUGCUAAGUGUUAGGAGGUUUCCGCCCCUUAGUGCUGCAGCUAACGCAUUAAGCACUCCGCCUGGGGAGUACGACCGCAAGGUUGAAACUCAAAGGAAUUGACGGGGGCCCGCACAAGCGG
rnacentral:rRNA from 1 species